CAAGUCGAGCGAACAGAUGAGAAGCUUGCUUCUCUGAUGUUAGCGGCGGACGGGUGAGUAACACGUGGGUAACCUACCUAUAAGACUGGGAUAACUCCGGGAAACCGGGGCUAAUACCGGAUAAUAUUUUGAACCGCAUGGUUCAAUAGUGAAAGACGGUUUCGGCUGUCACUUAUAGAUGGACCCGCGCCGUAUUAGCUAGUUGGUAAGGUAAUGGCUUACCAAGGCGACGAUACGUAGCCGACCUGAGAGGGUGAUCGGCCACACUGGAACUGAGACACGGUCCAGACUCCUACGGGAGGCAGCAGUAGGGAAUCUUCCGCAAUGGGCGAAAGCCUGACGGAGCAACGCCGCGUGAGUGAUGAAGGUCUUCGGAUCGUAAAACUCUGUUGUUAGGGAAGAACAAAUUUGUUAGUAACUGAACAAGUCUUGACGGUACCUAACCAGAAAGCCACGGCUAACUACGUGCCAGCAGCCGCGGUAAUACGUAGGUGGCAAGCGUUAUCCGGAAUUAUUGGGCGUAAAGCGCGCGUAGGCGGUUUCUUAAGUCUGAUGUGAAAGCCCACGGCUCAACCGUGGAGGGUCAUUGGAAACUGGGAAACUUGAGUGCAGAAGAGGAGAGUGGAAUUCCAUGUGUAGCGGUGAAAUGCGCAGAGAUAUGGAGGAACACCAGUGGCGAAGGCGGCUCUCUGGUCUGUAACUGACGCUGAUGUGCGAAAGCGUGGGGAUCAAACAGGAUUAGAUACCCUGGUAGUCCACGCCGUAAACGAUGAGUGCUAAGUGUUAGGGGGUUUCCGCCCCUUAGUGCUGCAGCUAACGCAUUAAGCACUCCGCCUGGGGAGUACGACCGCAAGGUUGAAACUCAAAGGAAUUGACGGGGACCCGCACAAGCGGUGGAGCAUGUGGUUUAAUUCGAAGCAACGCGAAGAACCUUACCAAAUCUUGACAUCCUUUGACCGCUCUAGAGAUAGAGUCUUCCCCUUCGGGGGACAAAGUGACAGGUGGUGCAUGGUUGUCGUCAGCUCGUGUCGUGAGAUGUUGGGUUAAGUCCCGCAACGAGCGCAACCCUUAAGCUUAGUUGCCAUCAUUAAGUUGGGCACUCUAGGUUGACUGCCGGUGACAAACCGGAGGAAGGUGGGGAUGACGUCAAAUCAUCAUGCCCCUUAUGAUUUGGGCUACACACGUGCUACAAUGGAUAAUACAAAGGGCAGCGAAUCCGCGAGGCCAAGCAAAUCCCAUAAAAUUAUUCUCAGUUCGGAUUGUAGUCUGCAACUCGACUACAUGAAGCUGGAAUCGCUAGUAAUCGUAGAUCAGCAUGCUACGGUGAAUACGUUCCCGGGUCUUGUACACACCGCCCGUCACACCACGAGAGUUUGUAACACCCGAAGCCGGUGGAGUAACCUUUUAGGAGCUAGCC
rnacentral:rRNA from 1 species